AGAGUUUGAUCCUGGCUCAGGAUGAACGCUAGCGGCAGGCUUAACACAUGCAAGUCGAGGGGCAGCAUAAUGGAUAGCAAUAUCUAUGGUGGCGACCGGCGCACGGGUGCGUAACGCGUAUGCAACCUACCUUUAACAGGGGGAUAACACUGAGAAAUUGGUACUAAUACCCCAUAAUAUCAUAGAAGGCAUCUUUUAUGGUUGAAAAUUCCGAUGGUUAGAGAUGGGCAUGCGUUGUAUUAGCUAGUUGGUGGGGUAACGGCUCACCAAGGCGACGAUACAUAGGGGGACUGAGAGGUUAACCCCCCACACUGGUACUGAGACACGGACCAGACUCCUACGGGAGGCAGCAGUGAGGAAUAUUGGUCAAUGGACGCAAGUCUGAACCAGCCAUGCCGCGUGCAGGAAGACGGCUCUAUGAGUUGUAAACUGCUUUUGUACGAGGGUAAACUCACCUACGUGUAGGUGACUGAAAGUAUCGUACGAAUAAGGAUCGGCUAACUCCGUGCCAGCAGCCGCGGUAAUACGGAGGAUUCAAGCGUUAUCCGGAUUUAUUGGGUUUAAAGGGUGCGUAGGCGGUUUGAUAAGUUAGAGGUGAAAUCCCGGGGCUUAACUCCGGAACUGCCUCUAAUACUGUUAGACUAGAGAGUAGUUGCGGUAGGCGGAAUGUAUGGUGUAGCGGUGAAAUGCUUAGAGAUCAUACAGAACACCGAUUGCGAAGGCAGCUUACCAAACUAUAUCUGACGUUGAGGCACGAAAGCGUGGGGAGCAAACAGGAUUAGAUACCCUGGUAGUCCACGCAGUAAACGAUGAUAACUCGUUGUCGGCGAUACACAGUCGGUGACUAAGCGAAAGCGAUAAGUUAUCCACCUGGGGAGUACGUUCGCAAGAAUGAAACUCAAAGGAAUUGACGGGGGCCCGCACAAGCGGAGGAACAUGUGGUUUAAUUCGAUGAUACGCGAGGAACCUUACCCGGGCUUGAAAGUUACUGACGAUUCUGGAAACAGGAUUUCCCUUUGGGGCAGGAAACUAGGUGCUGCAUGGUUGUCGUCAGCUCGUGCCGUGAGGUGUCGGGUUAAGUCCCAUAACGAGCGCAACCCCUACCGUUAGUUGCCAUCAGGUCAAGCUGGGCACUCUGGCGGGACUGCCGGUGUAAGCCGAGAGGAAGGUGGGGAUGACGUCAAAUCAGCACGGCCCUUACGUCCGGGGCUACACA
rnacentral:rRNA from 1 species